rnacentral:lncRNA from 1 species
UUUGGUCCAAAAACGAAGAGAAAUAUCUCAUUUCAAACCUUAAAACGAUUCUCACUGGGAAAUUAUCAAAGGUGUCAAAGCAUACAACCAAAAUUGGCAAAAAUUAGAUGUUGACUCGACUAGCUUGUUUUGUCUAAAUUAAGGUCUAUUUGGAGUCGUACUGAAUCCAACCAUGCUCACGAAAAGAUGCUCAAAAGUGAGAGGUGGAAGGAGGGUUUCUUCUAACAGAGAAAAUGACAGAUAGUGAAUGAGCCAAACACAACAUAAUCCCAGCCUUCACUUGACCCCUCCUUGGAAUAAGCCUCCUCGUGUAUUUAUUCGACAAAUCUCCGCCGUUGAUCUUAAUUCUCUUCUCCAUUGAUAGAAAUUUGAAUUUCCGCUUUUGUGUAUUUGAAGAUGGAUGGAAUUUGGUAAGAAGUGAAUGAAGAGCUUGUGAGUGUAAUUGGCUAUAUAUAGGGAGAGUUCUUUACAAAAUUGCCCCUCCGUGUUUGGUGAUAAAUAUGAUAAUUCCCAAGUGAUUUAAAAAAGGUGUCGUGGUUAAUUGAUAAUGGGACCCAUUCUUGACGGUCAAAAGAUGCAAUAAUUCAGUGAUGCUUUGUC